rnacentral:rRNA from 1 species
AGUGAACGCUGGCGGUAGGCCUAACACAUGCAAGUCGAACGGCAGCACAGUAAGAGCUUGCUCUUACGGGUGGCGAGUGGCGGACGGGUGAGGAAUACAUCGGAAUCUACUUUUUCGUGGGGGAUAACGUAGGGAAACUUACGCUAAUACCGCAUACGACCUACGGGUGAAAGCAGGGGAUCUUCGGACCUUGCGCGAUUGAAUGAGCCGAUGUCGGAUUAGCUAGUUGGCGGGGUAAAGGCCCACCAAGGCGACGAUCCGUAGCUGGUCUGAGAGGAUGAUCGGCCACACUGGAACUGAGACACGGUCCAGACUCCUACGGGAGGCAGCAGUGGGGAAUAUUGGACAAUGGGCGCAAGCCUGAUCCAGCCAUACCGCGUGGGUGAAGAAGGCCUUCGGGUUGUAAAGCCCUUUUGUUGGGAAAGAAAAGCAGCAGGUUAAUACCCCGCUGUUCUGACGGUACCCAAAGAAGAAGCACCGGCUAACUUCGUG